UACGUAGGGUGCGAGCGUUAAUCGGAAUUACUGGGCGUAAAGCGUGCGCAGGCGGUUGUGCAAGACAGGUGUGAAAUCCCCGGGCUCAACCUGGGAAUUGCAUUUGUGACUGCACGGCUAGAGUGUGUCAGAGGGGGGUAGAAUUCCACGUGUAGCAGUGAAAUGCGUAGAGAUGUGGAGGAAUACCGAUGGCGAAGGCAGCCCCCUGGGAUAACACUGACGCUCAUGCACGAAAGCGUGGGGGAGCAAACAGG
rnacentral:rRNA from 1 species